GACGAACGCUGGCGGCGUGCCUAAUACAUGCAAGUUGAGCGCUGAAGGUUGGUACUUGUACCAACUGGAUGAGCAGCGAACGGGUGAGUAACGCGUGGGGAAUCUGCCUUUGAGCGGGGGACAACAUUUGGAAACGAAUGCUAAUACCGCAUAAAAACUUUAAACACAAGUUUUAAGUUUGAAAGAUGCAAUUGCAUCACUCAAAGAUGAUCCCGCGUUGUAUUAGCUAGUUGGUGAGGUAAAGGCUCACCAAGGCGAUGAUACAUAGCCGACCGGAGAGGGUGAUCGGCCAAAUUGGGAAUGAGACACGGCCCAAACUCCUACGGGAGGCAGCAGUAGGGAAUCUUCGGCAAUGGAGGAAAGUCUGACCGAGCAACGACGCGUGAGUGAAGAAGGGUUUCGGAUCGUAAAACUCUGUUGGUAGAGAAGAACGUUGGUGAGAGUGGAAAGCUCAUCAAGUGACGGUAACUACCCAGAAAGGGACGGCUAACUACGUG
rnacentral:rRNA from 1 species